UUCAAAACGGCAACUGGUAACGCCAUUUUCAUCUAUUUGCCCUAAAAAUUUCAUCCUCCAAAUUCGGCACCUCAAACCCACGAUGUCUCACCACGAUAUCAACUCCUUACCCACGAACUCUUCUGCCCAGGAUUCCAGUAACAUGAUUUCACAUUUUUAUCAAAUCAGUUCUACUUUUACAGUAUAUAAUUAUGUUCUUUCUCCAUCGUGUGCAUAUCAAACAACAAUUCUAGAGUACAAGAGGACAUAAUGGCGGCUGAAAUCAAUUUUGUUACUGAAAUUAACAGCAAGUCAAUGAAUUGGAAGUUAAAGGUUCGUAUUGUCAGGCUUUGAAAAUAUUCGGAUCGCGAUAGGCCUGACAACCCUUUUUCAAUUGAGAUUGUUAUGAUGGAUGAAAAGGACGAUCACAUUCACACAAGUAUUGGCAGGUCUUUUAUCCAAAGGUUCAGACAAGAAAUUAAGGAAAUGGGUUUGUACAUCAUGAA